UACGAAGGGGGCUAGCGUUGCUCGGAAUUACUGGGCGUAAAGCGCACGUAGGCGGAUUGUUAAGUCGGGGGUGAAAUCCUGGAGCUCAACUCCAGAACUGCCUUCGAUACUGGGAGUCUCGAGUUCGGGAGAGGUGAGUGGAACUGCGAGUGUAGAGGUGAAAUUCGUAGAUAUUCGCAAGAACACCAGUGGCGAAGGCGGCUCACUGGCCCGAUACUGACGCUGAGGUGCGAAAGCGUGGGGAGCAACAGG
rnacentral:rRNA from 1 species